UGUAUCAGGACUACACACCGUAACUAGAGUCACAAAAGAAGCAUAUGACUCGUGCAAUUCAGUAAAUCCUAUAGCAAUUACAGCUAUUGGUCCAGCAAAUUUUACACUCGAUUCAGUUGGUGAGUACUAUUUCAUAUGUAGCAUACCGGCGCACUGUCCCUUGGGACAGAAAUUGGCCAUCAAUGUGACUGCCCCUUGUGGACCUACGCCUAGUCUGCCUCCAUUGACGCCUCUCACGACGACCACUUGUAGGGACGCCGUGUCCUAUGUCGUCGGAGAUGCACUAGGGUGGAGUGUUCCUCCUGGCGGUGCACUUGCUUAUUCUACAUGGGUUUCUCUCAAGACCUUUACUAUCGGAGAUUCUUUAGGUAAAAUUACAUAUUUCUUUUAUCCGAGCGUAAAUGGUGUAUAGUUAGAUUGAUUUCAAUGAUAAUUAAUAAUAAUUAAAAAAAAAAUGUAUAUCUGUUGUAUUUGUAUAAGUUUGAUGAUUUUCAACUGAAAUACGAAUUUUUAUUAUUAUUAGUUUUUUUUAUAUAAAUUGUUGCAGUUUUCAACUUUAUAACGGGACAACAAGAUGUGGCAAGGGUGACAAAAGAAGCAUAUGAUACGUGCAAUACAAAAAACUAUAUUAAGCUGGAAACAACCGGCCCAACAAAUUUUAGGCUUGAAACUGUUGGUGACUACUAUUUUAUAGGCGCAAUGGGCCGGCAGUGCAGCUUGGGACAAAAAUUAGCCGUUAAAGUUACGGGCUUGACGGAGGGGCCUGUUACAUAUAUUGUUGGAGAUGGACUAGGUUGGCUUCCACCUCCUGGCGGUGCACUAGCUUAUACCACUUGGGCUUACAACAAAAACUUUGUUGUUGGAGACACACUAGGUGAUAAUACUAAUUUUAAAGUUAAAAUUUC
rnacentral:lncRNA from 1 species